ensembl:lncRNA
GUGUGUGUGAGUGUGUCUCAGUAGUGUGUGUGAGAGUGUCUCAGUAGUGUGUGUGAGAGUGUCUCAGUAGUGUGUGUGAGUGUGUCUCAGUAGUGUGUGUGAGAGUGUCUCAGUAGUGUGUGUGAGUGUGUCUCAGUUGUGUGUGAGUGUGUCUCAGUAGUGUGUGUGAGUGUGUCUCAGUAGUGUGUGUGAGAGUGUCUCAGUAGUGUGUGUGAGUGUGUCUCAUGUCUCAGUAGUGUGUGUGAGUGUGUUUAGUGUCUCAGUAGUGUGUGUGAGUGUGUCUCAGUAGUGUGUGUGAGUGUGU